rnacentral:tRNA from 1 species
GCUCAGUUGGUAGAGCGCAACCUUGCCAAGGUUGAGGUCGCGAGUUCGAGACUCGUCUCCCGCUCCA